CAGCCGCCGCGGGAAUACGAAGGGUGCAAGCGUUAAUCGGAAUUACUGGGCGUAAAGCGUGCGUAGGUGGUGGUUUAAGUCCGUUGUGAAAGCCCUGGGCUCAACCUGGGAAUUGCAGUGGAUACUGGGUCACUAGAGUGUGGUAGAGGAUAGUGGAAUUUCCGGUGUAGCAGUGAAAUGCGUAGAGAUCGGAAGGAACAUCUGUGGCGAAGGCGACUAUCUGGGCCAACACUGACACUGAGGCACGAAAGCGUGGGGAGCAAACAGGAUUAGAUACCCCGGUAGUCCCUGUCUCUUAUAC
rnacentral:rRNA from 1 species